rnacentral:misc_RNA from 1 species
CGCGGCUCCCCUUAAAUGCAUCGGUUGGGCUUGGGAUCGCCUGCGUGCCUCUGGCGUUGUAUCUACCUCGCUUGCUGGCCAUCGGCUUUCCCCUUGCGCGCUCGGCCUCGACCUUGCCUCUGGAGCGGCGGUCGACUUUGACGGUUUUUUCCGUUCUUUCUUCUGACCUCAAAUCGGGUAGGACUACCCGCUGAACUUAA